rfam:Oryza barthii chromosome 12, whole genome shotgun sequence.
AAAGACCGAAUUCUUCGGUUUUUGUGUCCAACGUUUGACCAUCUUAUAUAAAAUUUUUUUAUGAUUAGUAUUUUUAUUAUUGUUAGAUGAUAAAACAUGAAUAAUUCUUUAUGCAUGACUUAUCUUUUUUAAUUUUUUCAUAAUUUUUUUAAAUAAGACGAACGGUCAAAUGUUAGACACGGAAAACCCAGGAAUUAAG